rnacentral:rRNA from 1 species
CCUACGGGAGGCAGCAGUGAGGAAUAUUGGUCAAUGGACGAGAGUCUGAACCAGGCAAGUAGCGUGAAGGAUGACUGCCCUAUGGGUUGUAAACUUCUUUUAUAUGGGAAUAAAACGUUCCACGUGUGGGAUUUUGUAUGUACCAUAUGAAUAAGGAUCGGCUAACUCCGUGCCAGCAGCCGCGGUAAUACGGAGGAUCCGAGCGUUAUCCGGAUUUAUUGGGUUUAAAGGGAGCGUAGGUGGAUUGUUAAGUCAGUUGUGAAAGUUUGCGGCUCAACCGUAAAAUUGCAGUUGAAACUGGCAGUCUUGAGUACAGGAGAGGUGGGCGGAAUUCGUGGUGUAGCGGUGAAAUGCUUAGAUAUCACGAAGAACUCCGAUUGCGAAGGCAGUUCACUGGACUGCAACUGACACUGAGGCUCGAAAGUGUGGGUAUCAAACAGGAUUAGAUACCCCAGUAGUC